rnacentral:tRNA from 7 species
AGUAUGGCUCAGUUGGUAGAGCAGCGCAUUCGUAAUGCGCAGGUCGUCGGUUCGAGUCCGACUACU